CCCAAUUGCAUCAACAUAAGAGUGCAAUCGGGUUGGCGGCGAGGAUCCAAGUUCAACUUGAUUGAAAGCAUCAACUCCCUGAUUCAUUCCAACAUCAGUUGUUGGCUGGUCAUUUGAUUUUUUAGCAACACUUUUACCUGAAUAUCUCCUAGACUCAUAAUGAUUCACAAAUUUCUUUUCAGGCACAUCUCUGAGACUUUUUGAUGUAAUAUUCUGAGUAUGCAAAUUAUCAACCUCCACUGAAAGUAAUGGCAUUUCAGUUGGCAAGGUUUUACUUCGGUUUGUUAUCAUUCUUAAUUUCUGAUUACUCCUAUGCUGAAGAAGACUUCUGAUUCUUUCC
rnacentral:misc_RNA from 1 species